GACGUAGGGCGCGAGCGUUGUCCGGAUUUAUUGGGCGUAAAGAGCUCGUAGGCGGUUUGUCGCGUCUGCUGUGAAAAUCCAGGGCUUAACCCUGGACCUGCAGUGGGUACGGGCAGACUAGAGUGCGGUAGGGGAGAUCGGAAUUCCUGGUGUAGCGGUGAAAUGCGCAGAUAUCAGGAGGAACACCGGUGGCGAAGGCGGAUCUCUGGGC
rnacentral:rRNA from 1 species